AGAGUUUGAUCAUGGCUCAGAUUGAACGCUGGCGGCAUGCUUAAUACAUGCAAGUCGAACGGUAACAGAUUCUUCGGAAUGCUGACGAGUGGCGGACGGGGGAGUAAUACAUAGGAAUCUGCCCAUGUAGUGGGGGACAACUUGGGGAAACUCAAGCUAAUACCGCAUAAUUCCUACGGGAUAAAGAGGGCCACUGCUUGCAAGCUCUUGCUACUGGAUGAGCCUAUGUCGGAUUAGUUAGUUGGUAAGGUAAUGGCUUACCAAGACAGCGAUCCGUAGCUGGUUUGAGAGGAUGAUCAGCCACACUGGGACUGAGACACGGCCCAGACUCCUACGGGAGGCAGCAGUAGGGAGUAUUGGACAAUGGGCGCAAGCCUGAUCCAGCAAUGCCGCGUGUGUGAAGAAGGCCUGCGGGUUGUAAAGCACUUUCAAUUGGGAAGAAAGAUUAUGAGUUAAUACCUUAUAAUAUUGACG
rnacentral:rRNA from 1 species